rnacentral:rRNA from 1 species
UACAGAGGUCCCGAGCGUUGUUCGGAUUCAUUGGGCGUAAAGGGUGCGUAGGCGGCGGGGCAAGUCUGAUGUGAAAUCCCGGGGCUCACCCCCGGAACUGCAUUGGAUACUGCCUUGCUAGAGUACUGGAGAGGGAACUGGAAUUUACGGUGUAGCAGUGAAAUGCGUAGAGAUCGUAAGGAAGGCCAGUGGCGAAGGCGAGUUCCUGGACAGUUACUGACGCUGAGGCACGAAGGCCAGGGGAGCAAACGGG